CAUUAGUUGCAUGUGCUUUGAUAC
rnacentral:siRNA from 1 species